ACCUUCACAAUGCGCGAAAGCGUGAUGAGGUUAAUCCGAGUGGUCCCCGCUGAGGGGAUCUUUUGUCGGCUGUAAAAAGGCCGGUGAAUAAGGGGAGGGCAAGUCUGGUGUCAGCCGCCGCGGUAAUACCAGCUCCUCGAGUGGUCGGGGCGAUUAUUGGGCCUAAAGCAUCCGUAGCCUGUUCUGUAGGUCCUCUGUCAAAUCCAACGGCUUAACCGUUGGCCCGCAGAGGAUACCGCAGGACUAGGAGGCGGGAGAGGUGGACGGUACUCCACGUGUAGGGGUAAAAUCCUUUGAUCCGUGGAAGACCACCAGUGGCGAAGGCGGUCCACCAGAACGCGCUCGACGGUGAGGGAUGAAAGCUGGGGGAGCGAACCGGAUUAGAUACCCGGGUAGUCCCAGCCGUAAACGAUGCGAGCUAGAUGAUCCGGUCGCAAAUCGCGAUCGGAGUGUCGCAGGGAAGCCGUUAAGCUCGCCGCCUGGGGAGUACGGUCGCAAGACUGAAACUUAA
rnacentral:rRNA from 2 species